rnacentral:rRNA from 1 species
AGAGUUUGAUCAUGGCUCAGGAAGAACGCUAGCGGCAGGCCUUAUACAUGCAAGUCGAGGGGCAGCAUUUACUUCGGUAAAUGGCGACCGGCGCACGGGUGAGUAACGCGUAUGCAACCUACCUUUAACUGGGGCAUAGCUCGAGGAAACUCGAAUUAAUUCCCCAUAGUACAUUAUAAUAUCUCAUGAUAUAAAUGUUAAAGAUUUAUCGGUUAAAGAUGGGCAUGCGUCUGAUUAGUUUGUUGGUAAGGUAACGGCUUACCAAGACUACGAUCAGUAGGGGGUCUGAGAGGAUGAUCCCCCACACUGGUACUGAGACACGGACCAGACAUCUACGGAUGGCAGCAGUAAGGAAUAUUGGGCAAUGGGCGCAAGCCUGACCCAGCCAUGCCGCGUGCAGGAUGACGACCCUAUGGGUUGUAAACUGCUUUUAUAUAGGAAGAAAAUACUCUUGCGAGAGGAUCUGACGGUACUAUAUGAAUAAGGACCGGCUAACUCCGUGCCAGCAGCCGCGGUAAUACGGAGGGUUCAAGCGUUUUCCGGAUUUAUNGGGUUAAAGAGUGCGUAGGUGGUUUAU